rnacentral:tRNA from 1 species
GGCUAGAAAGCUAUGAAGGAAACAGCAUCAGCCUUUUAAGCUGAAGGAAGGUGGCUACCGACCACCUCUAGCCAAAUGCCUCAACUGGACCCCUCACCAUGGUUUGCAAUUUUAGUAUUUUCCUGGGCAAUCUUCCUAAUGAUUCUCCCCCCAAAAGUCUUAGCCCAUCAGUUUAACAACGAGCCCACCCUUAAAAGCACUGAGGCGGCUAAGCCCGAACCCUGAAUGUGAUCGUGACACUAAGCUUUUUCGACCAAUUUAUGAGCCCCACCUAUUUAGGGAUCCCCCUAAUAACCCUGGCACUCACCCUUCCAUGGAUCCUCUUUCCGACCCCCUCAAACCGAUGGAUCAACAGCCGACUCCUUACCCUUCAGGCAUGAUUUAUCAACCGCUUCACCCACCAAAUCUUUCUACCCCUGAACCAAGGAGGACAUAAAUGGGCCACCAUGCUGACGUCCCUGAUGAUCUUUCUCAUCACACUAAACAUGCUCGGACUUUUACCCUAUACCUUUACCCCUACCACCCAACUCUCCUUAAAUAUGGCACUAGCUGUACCUAUGUGGCUGGCCACGGUGAUUAUCGGUAUGCGAAACCAGCCUACUGCGGCGCUUGGGCACCUCCUACCAGAAGGCACGCCGACCCCCCUAAUUCCUGUCCUCAUCAUCAUCGAAACGAUCAGCUUAUUUAUCCGCCCCUUGGCCCUAGGCGUCCGACUUACCGCGAACCUAACUGCCGGCCACCUAUUGAUCCAACUUAUUGCCACCGCGGCAUUUGUCCUCAUACCCCUUAUGCCGACGGUUGCCCUUCUCACCUCCGCUGUCCUUUUUCUCCUUACUCUUCUCGAAAUCGCCGUAGCAAUAAUUCAAGCUUACGUAUUCGUGCUUCUUCUCAGUCUGUACCUCCAGGAAAACGUAUAAUGGCCCACCAAGCACAUGCAUUCCACAUAGUAGACCCAAGCCCUUGGCCCCUCACCGGGGCAGUAGGCGCCCUCUUGCUCACGUCUGGCACUGCCAUUUGAUUCCACUUCAACUCUACCACGCUCAUAACGCUCGGUUUACUACUCACUCUACUAAC